AGUCCACGCUGUAAACGAUGAUGACUAACCGUCGGCGAUACACAGUCGGUGGCCAAGCGAAAGCGAUAAGUCAUCCACCUGGGGAGUACGACCGCAAGGUUGAAACUCAAAGGAAUUGACGGGGGCCCGCACAAGCGGAGGAACAUGUGGUUUAAUUCGAUGAUACGCGAGGAACCUUACCCGGGCUCGAACGGCAGGGGAAUGAUUCAGAGAUGGAUCAGUCUUCGGACUCCUGUCGAGGUGCUGCAUGGUUGUCGUCAGCUCGUGCUGUGAAGUGUCGGCUUAAGUGCCAUAACGAGCGCAACCCUUGCCGUUAGUUGCCAUCAGGUUAUGCUGGGGACUCUAGCGGGACUGCCACCGCAAGGUGUGAGGAAGGGGGGGAUGACGUCAAAUCAGCACGGCCCUUACGUCCGGGGCGACACACGUGUUACAAUGGUGGGUACAGAGGGAAGCUACCUGGCGACAGGAUGCAGAUCUCGAAAACCCAUCCCAGUUCGGAUUGGAGUCUGCAACCCGACUCCAUGAAGUUGGAUUCGCUAGUAAUCGCGCAU
rnacentral:rRNA from 1 species